rnacentral:lncRNA from 1 species
UGCCCAUUUAUUAACCAAGCGCCGAAUGGCUGCCAGGGAGCCCACCCCAGGAGAAGCAAGGACCGGGAAGGUGGGGUGUCUGCUGCCGAUGAGGCGUCAGGGUGCCAAGGCUGGCAUCUGGGGAGGGAGCCGGGGGCCAGAACGGGACGCAGCCUCCGGGCAACUUACAUUAGCGACGCUCGUGGUUGGGGAGGCGCGAGGAUUAUCUGAGCAUUUGCACACUUCACAAUCCCUCCCCCUUAACCUAAGGUACCCCCCCUCCCUUUCCGCGAG